GAUGAACGCUGGCGGCGUGCUUAACACAUGCAAGUCGAACGGACUUAUCUUAUGAAGCUUGCUUCGCGAGAUAAGUUAGUGGCGGACGGGUGAGUAACGCGUGGGUAACCUGCCGUAUGCUGGGGGACAACAGUUGGAAACGACUGCUAAUACCGCAUAAUAUAUAUUUGAGGCAUCUCAGAUAUAUCAAAGAUUUAUCGCCUGAAGAUGGACUCGCGUCUGAUUAGAUAGUUGGUGGGGUAACGGCCUACCAAGUCGACGAUCAGUAGCCGAACUGAGAGGUUGAUCGGCCACAUUGGGACUGAGACACGGCCCAGACUCCUACGGGAGGCAGCAGUGGGGGAUAUUGCACAAUGGGGGAAACCCUGAUGCAGCGACGCCGCGUGAGUGAAGAAGUAUUUCGGUAUGUAAAGCUCUAUCAGCAAGGAGAAAAUGACGGUACUUGACUAAGAAGCCCCGGCUAACUACGUGCCAGCAGCCG
rnacentral:rRNA from 1 species